rnacentral:lncRNA from 1 species
UCAGGUUCAUACAACAUAAGGUAAAUAAUAAAAUUAUAAAAUAUUUCCUGACAGAAUUAUGCACUUCUCGGCUACUGGAACAUACGUGCGGAUCCAUAGGGAGCAUGCUCUUGACAACCCGUGUUCUAACCCUCCCAGCAAGAUUACCAUUACUUCUGUCCUCUCUCUCAGUAAUCUCUGGGGCAUGUUCGUGGUACUGGCAGGAGGUCACCUUUUGGCAGCGUUGGUCCUAUUCCUCGAGCUUCUACAUAGUUGAGCUCAGGAGCUUACCCUUACGCCGUCCUAAUUAAGACAAGAUGCCUCAUCCUAGAACUAUGUUGCUGAUGACUACAAUGAACGCAUAUUAGGAAGAAAGUAGCAUGUCAUAAUCUCGUUUCAUAUUCUUUCAAAUUCCAAAUAUCUGAUGCCUGAAGUAUGGGCUUUUUGCUGUGAAUGCAAUACAGUAUAUAAUGAAUUAAUUUUAUGUUAUUAUGACUGUAAAGGAUGUACAUUUUGGAGAUUGAUAGCUAAUGAAGAUCAUUAUUAUUACUUGAUCUCAGAUAUGUUCUUCAGUAAAUGGUUAAUAAAGAGUUGCACAAUU